rnacentral:lncRNA from 1 species
AUGGCUGAAGAGUCCAAUUGGAUUGUGACUCUGGUGAGGAGUCCCAUUGGGACUGGGACUCAGCAGGAGAGCCUGCAGAGUCCCACUGGACUGAGACUCUACUAUUAAUAGAGAAUUAAUUAAUAAUUAAAUUAUAAAUUAACUUAAUUUGAUUGAAUAAAGAGAUUUAGAUCAAGUCUAAUUGAAUUAGAUUCAGUUUGACUUAGAUUGGAUUUGAUAUGAUCAAAGCUUGAUUGCAAGAGAAAUUUGAUCCUGAUUCGAUCAGGACUUGAAUUCAGCUAAUUUCUAAUUGGAUUAAGAAUUUAUUAAGAUGA